rnacentral:lncRNA from 1 species
CGGGGAUAUAAAUUUGGUCGCUUAGAUCUUCUACCGACCAUCAAUUAUUGGCCAAGGUGGGACGUCCGUUUGGUUGUGUGGGAUGUGAAAGUACACAGCCAAGUUCAGAAUAUGAUACAACGUUAAGCAACCAACAACCAAUCAUCAACAUUAGAAGAAAAUAACUUAAAUGUGCAUUGCAUCAAUGUGAAUGAUAAUUAAACACGCCGAUUUGUUAUUGAUAAGUAUAUACCAGAAGGCACCAUUUAGCUGCAACUUAAAGCAAUAUAC